rnacentral:rRNA from 1 species
UACGAAGGGGGGCUAGCGUUGCUCGGAAUGACUGGGCGUAAAGGGCGCGUAGGCGGCUUGCACAGUCAGGCGUGAAAUUCCUGGGCUCAACCUGGGGACUGCGCUUGAGACGUGUGGGCUUGAGUGGGGAAGAGGGUCGUGGAAUUCCCAGUGUAGAGGUGAAAUUCGUAGAUAUUGGGAAGAACACCGGUGGCGAAGGCGACUGCCUGGACCAGCACUGACACUGAGGCACGAAAGCGUGGGGAGCAAACAGG